rnacentral:rRNA from 1 species
UGAACGCUAGCUACAGGCUUAACACAUGCAAGUCGAGGGUCAGCAUUUCAGUUUGCUUGCAAACUGGAGAUGGCGACCGGCGCACGGGUGAGUAACACGUAUCCAACCUGCCGAUUACUCGGGGAUAGCCUUUCGAAAGAAAGAUUAAUACCCGAUGGUAUAAUCAGACCGCAUGGUCUUGUUAUUAAAGAAUUUCGGUUAUCGAUGGGGAUGCGUUCCAUUAGGCAGUUGGUGAGGUAACGGCUCACCAAACCUUCGAUGGAUAGGGGUUCUGAGAGGAAGGUCCCCCACAUUGGAACUGAGGCACGGUCCAAACUCCUACGGGAGGCAGCAGUGAGGAAUAUUGGUCAAUGGGCGCAGGCCUGAACCAGCCAAGUAGCGUGAAGGAUGACUGCCCUAUGGGUUGUAAACUUCUUUUAUAUGGGAAUAAAGUUUUCCACGUGUGGAAUUUUGUAUGUACCAUAUGAAUAAGGAUCGGCUAACUCCGUGCCAGCAGCCGCGGUAAUACGGAGGAUCCGAGCGUUAUCCGGAUUUAUUGGGUUUAAAGGGAGCGUAGGUGGACAGUUAAGUCUGUUGUGAAAGUUUGCGGCUCAACCGUAAAAUUGCAGUUGAUACUGGCUGUCUGAAGUACAGUAGAGGUGGGCGGAAUUCGUGGUGUAGCGGUGAAAUGCUUAGAUAUCACGAAGAACUCCGAUUGCGAAGGCAGCUCACUGGACUGCAACUGACACUGAUGCUCGAAAGUGUGGGUAUCAAACAGGAUUAGAUACCCUGGUAGUCCACACAGUAAACGAUGAAUACUCGCUGUUUGCGAUAUACAGUAAGCGGCCAAGCGAAAGCAUUAAGUAUUCCACCUGGGGAGUACGCCGGCAACGGUGAAACUCAAAGGAAUUGACGGGGGCCCGCACAAGCGGAGGAACAUGUGGUUUAAUUCGAUGAUACGCGAGGAACCUUACCCGGGCUUAAAUUGCAUUUGAAUAUAUUGGAAACAGUAUAGCCGUAAGGCAAAUGUGAAGGUGCUGCAUGGUUGUCGUCAGCUCGUGCCGUGAGGUGUCGGCUUAAGUGCCAUAACGAGCGCAACCCUUAUCUUUAGUUACUAACAGGUCAUGCUGAGGACUCUAGAGAGACUGCCGUCGUAAGAUGUGAGGAAGGUGGGGAUGACGUCAAAUCAGCACGGCCCUUACGUCCGGGGCUACACACGUGUUACAAUGGGGGGUACAGAAGGCAGCUACCUGGUGACAGGAUGCUAAUCCCAAAAGCCUCUCUCAGUUCGGAUCGAAGUCUGCAACCCGACUUCGUGAAGCUGGAUUCGCUAGUAAUCGCGCAUCAGCCAUGGCGCGGUGAAUACGUUCCCGGGCCUUGUACACACCGCCCGUCAAGCCAUGAAAGCCGGGGGUACCUGAAGUACGUAACCGCAAGGAGCGUCCUAGGGUA